rnacentral:rRNA from 1 species
GUCCACGCCGUAAACGAUGGAUGCUAGAUGGUGCGGGUAUUGACCCCCGCACUGUCGCAGCUAACGCAAUAAGCAUCCCGCCUGGGGAGUACGGCCGCAAGGCUAAAACUCAAAGGAAUUGACGGGGGCCCGCACAAGCGGUGGAGCAUGUGGUUUAAUUCGACGCAACGCGAAGAACCUUACCUGGGUUAAAUCCACUCGAACCUUACAGAGAUGUAGGGGUGCCUUUCGGGGAAUGAGUGAGAAGGUGCUGCAUGGCUGUCGU